rnacentral:rRNA from 1 species
GGUGCUGCAUGGCUGUCGUCAGCUCGUGCCGUGAGGUGUUGGGUUAAGUCCCGCAACGAGCGCAACCCUCACCCUUAGUUGCCAUCAUUAAGUUGGGCACCCUAAGGGAACUGCCGCAGUUAAUGCGGAGGAAGGUGGGGAUGACGUCAAGUCCUCAUGGCCCUUAUAUCCAGGGCUACACACGUGCUACAAUGGACGGUACAAAGGGUCGCGAACCUGCAAAGGGGAGCUAACCCCAGAAAACCGCUCUCAGUUCGGAUUGGAGUCUGCAACCCGACUCCAUGAAGUUGGAAUCGCUAGUAAUCGCGGAUCAGAACGCCGCGGUGAAUACGUUCCCGGGCCUU